rnacentral:rRNA from 1 species
CCUACGGGUGGCAGCAGUGAGGAAUAUUGGUCAAUGGACGCAAGUCUGAACCAGCCAUGCCGCGUGCAGGAAGACGGCUCUAUGAGUUGUAAACUGCUUUUGUACGAGAGUAAACGCAGAUACGCGUAUCUUUCUGAAAGUAUCGUACGAAUAAGGAUCGGCUAACUCCGUGCCAGUAGCCGCGGUAAUACGGAGGAUUCAAGCGUUAUCCGGAUUUAUUGGGUUUAAAGGGUGCGUAGGCGGUCGGAUAAGUUAGAGGUGAAAUCCCGAGGCUCAACUUCGGAAUUGCCUCUGAUACUGUUCGGCUAGAGAGUAGUUGCGGUAGGCGGAAUGUAUGGUGUAGCGGUGAAAUGCUUAGAGAUCAUACAGAACACCGAUUGCGAAGGCAGCUUACCAAGCUACUUCUGACGUUGAGGCACGAAAGCGUGGGGAGCAAACAGGAUUAGAUACCCCUGUAGUC